rnacentral:rRNA from 1 species
GUCUACCACCAUGUCACCCUGAACAUGCCUGAACCUGUCUGAUCUCAGAAGCUAAGCAGGGUCAGGCCUGGUUAGUACUUGGAUGGGAGACCACCUAGGAAGACCAGGUGUUGUAGGCA